AUAUCAAUAAGCGGAGGAAAAGAAACCAACAGGGAUUGCCCUAGUAACGGCGAGUGAAGCGGCAACAGCUCAAAUUUGAAAUCUGGCCUUAUGGUCCGAGUUGUAAUUUGUAGAGGAUGCUUUUGGUGCGGCGCUUUCUGAGUUCCCUGGAACGGGACGCCAUAGAGGGUGAGAACCCCGUUCGUGCUGGUGGCCUGCGCCCGUGUAAAGCUCUUUCGACGAGUCGAGUUGUUUGGGAAUGCAGCUCUAAAUGGGUGGUAAAUUUCAUCUAAAGCUAAAUAUUGGCCAGAGACCGAUAGCGCACAAGUA
rnacentral:rRNA from 1 species